AAGAACUGUCGCGAAAGUGGGAAUCUCUGAGAAACAUCGGGAUCGAUGAAGCGACUCUCGCCGCGGCUAACGAAAUCGAUCGAAGAAGAAAAUGCAAUUCGAUCGUUCGCUCGAGGGACUAAUUGCGAAAAUCAACACUCGGAUCCAGGCGACUUCGGAGGGUAUACGAGAGGAGUUCGCAGGGCAAGCGAAUGACUCGCGUUGAAACGAAAAUAUAAAAAACAGGAGAAACAGAAAAUGACACGAAUAAAUAUUCUCCGUGUCUCCACUCUCCACACGAGACGCGUCCAGCAUUGUACGAAUACACACAAACGUACACACGCGGACCUUUCUAUUUUCAACGCCCCCACGUACUUUUUCUCAGCUUUCCGGCCUCUCGUACAACUCGAAAUGUUAAUAAAAAGGAAACUAAAAAGAAAUGAGUGAAUGAACAAACACACUGGAUAUGCGGAGUGUGCUUUGAAAUAUAGCGAGUGUGUGUACAGCCUCGUGUGAAGAAUUUUCCUUCUCCCUCUCUCUCUCUCUCUCUCUCUUUGGCUUCCAGAUUCCCAUUCAGGUGAGAGACUCGUAAACUUCUCACUCUGCUCGUGGCUGCUGUGUGUGUUCUACAUAUACAGAGUGUCCCGAAACUGCAUCCAAAUUUAUUGAGUAAAUAAAGAUUCGAUGACUUUGACAAGCGACUUGGUACUAACUAGCUUUCUCUCCAAUGGACGACUCGAAAGAUGAGUCAUUUGGGGGCGUUCGAUUCGAGGUUGGCUGACACUGAAUUUACGAGGAAUUUACCUCCGUUGAUUAAUCAGAACGUCUCUUCGUCGAAAUAUGUUGUCGCUCGUACGGACCAUCUGUUUGAGGAAAGCGACGAAUAGCUCGCCCCACCGGAAUCGAUGAAUCCGAACUGAUGAAAUGUGACAGCGGUACCGAGCUCUAACAAUUCGUUCCUGUUUUCAAGAUCGAUUCAAAGGGAGGCUGCUUUCUGGAAGGCCUCGUUCGCAGAUAUUCGUCGACUGCGUAAUUCCGUUGGCAGGAUCUCCCCAUCGAUUGAACGAUCAUCGCUAGCUGCUCCGUGCGAGUUUUGGAGCAGCCUAUACGGCACCGUAAUCUACACGGGAAGGCGAGAGAAAGAGCGAGAGGGCGAGAUAAAAAUGUUCAUCUCUCACCGACAGGCAUCUCGCAUCGCUGCUUCUCCGCGUGUAUUAACAUUCCACCGAGUUCUCCCGUAUCCUCAUCUAGUCAAUCGAGUAGAAUACCGGGAUCGUAACGACGAAGUUGCUCGAUGUUACCUAUAAUUUGUGUUAGUCAGACUCGUAUUCGUACCUCGAGGUUUCAUCCCUUUGACACAUUUAGCCAGCAUUACGGGUUCGCGGCUGUAACGAGUCGAUUUUUUGAAAAAUAGUUACCGUUAACGUCGUCAUCCGAGAGAGAGAGAGAGACCGAUUGAGAUUUAUCCUCAAUAAAAAGAGUCAAUCAAAUAUUGUGAGAGAUCAAUUUUUUUCAAAUAUCACAACGUGGCUAAACAUUUUCUCUCGAUGCAUCGACGUGAUGAAUGUUUGAAUGAAAAUCACUUGAUUAGUUGAAUUUGAUUCCCUUUGUUUGACGUUUCAAUUGUCGGAUGUUAAAUAAUUCAAUUAAAAUUCAAGCCCGAGGCAUUCGGAGUGCGCUCGGAGUCGGGAACGUGUUUGCUUUGUUCUUGAAAUAACAAACGUGUCUUUGAAUUGUAUCUGCGAAUAGUGUUAGUUGCCGGACAGCCGCAGCCGACAUCCCGUGUACGAGAAAACCUGUAGAAGCGCGAAACUCGUUGCUUUAUCGCGCCGCGCAAGAUUGUUCUCGCGCCUGUCAUCCGCAGACGGGAGACGAGGGAUUCCGCGUGCCUGGAGCUUCCAGAGAUUCGUUCGUGAAUCACCGACGAUGGAUGUAACGACCUUAGCAAAAACGAUACGAUAGAAAUCGCCGAAGGAGGACGCCUAAAAGAGCGAUGUUUUUAGGACCCAUCGUGAUCCAUGCUAAUUCAAUGCCGGUCGAUUCUAAUGUCGAUCUUUCAAAAAUCCCAAUAACGAUUCAAGCUGAGUGAGCCCAAACUCCUGAAGCCAGUGGGCAAUGUGAAAUUGAAUUUGAACCGAUCGAAUGUGUUCGUCAUCAUUCCAGCCCGUGGAGCAUCCCAGAGUUUCCAAAUAUCGCGAGCGAUAUUAGACGAGAGUUACAAAAAGACGACGAGUGAUUUAUUCAAGGGGUGUAAACGAUGGAGACGAGAAUGCGGAGGGGAAAGCGAAACCACGAAAUCUCUGGUGAGACGUGAAAACGUUGAGCGUCCGGUUUGCUGGGAACGUCCUGAAAGCCAGUCUAAGAGGUCGCCACUGAUGUUCGUAAGGAGCGGAGGUUUCGCUCCAUCCAAAGAAAGCUCCGAAACAAAUGACUUCUCCUUUCCGUAUACACGAUCCGAGUGUCAUUUAAAACGUACUCAGAAAAUAGUGCGAGGCGCACUAAACAGUGCAGGGAGAAAUGAAAAGGACGAAAACUCGAAAAUCCACUCUCUCCUGAGUUUUCCCCAUAAAAAAUAUCCUCGAGGACAAAGCGAGCUUAGAAAGACGAAUAACGAUCGUUUACGGAUUACCUUUAUCCCACAAAGAAUUUCCUACUUUUGCUCAACUCCAUUGUUCCACUGAAUAAAAGAUUCUGCUGCUUCCGGACCACUCUAAUUCACCGAUUAUUCCUGACACAGAGAAAAACAACCGUCAUCAUUCAACGCUCAAACCGAUUGAAUCCCAAAUUCAACUGAAGGCUCCGAACUCGUCAGGCGAAUAUUGCCAAAGUCAGUAAAUUUGUCAAAGUCCGGUGAACCGAUGACGAAGCUCUCAAAAUCCUUUGUCCCCGACGAUAUCAACGAGCCCAAAUAGCGCUCGGAUUUCGUGUCUCGUAAGAAGACAACCAACGAUGCAGAAAAAUCAUCACCAUUUUUAAAAUUCCAGCGUCUCCGUAAGUUCGAAAACAGAGAUAAUCAAACGCAGUUUUCACGCUUUCAGCGUUUGGAAUAAGUUUUUCACACUGAAGAGUGCUCCUGCUCCGACGAUAUAAACUUUGUGCAGUUUUCGCCUGUUUAGCGAACGCCUCGGAAACCUCUCACGCGUCUAAUGUGCUUUUAAGCUAUUUACGGAUAUUGCGCUACUGGGGGGAAGGAGAGAGUAGCUUCUGAUGUGCAACGUGAUAAUAAAAUUUACACGGUGGCAGGGUGUGCUGCUCGCAUUUACGGGGGAGUAGGCGUCGAGCUAUUCUCUUGACAUCACGUAGCACACGUCUUCUGGUCCCGUCUUGUUGCCAGUGAAUAGCACACAAUAUGGAAAUACACACACGUCAGAGCGUGAGCGCGCGCUCACACAUUGAUUCAUUUACGUACUCGAUCCUCCAUGAAAACGUAUAACCCAGAGAGCUUCGAGGCGGGUCGCUCUCGAGAAACACAAAACUCAAUUGUAUCCGAAGUACAAAGUGAGUAACGGGUCAAAAGAGCGAAACACCUCGUCCUCGGUGCAUCGGACAGUGGAAAAUCGAAAAUGUAAAUCGUAUUUUGGAAAAUUUAUAUAUAGAAAUUUAUCGAAUUCAUGAUGAAGAAAUAACGGAGAUCUUUGUGGAGUUUCGUUCGAUAAAACGGUGAGGGGAGUCGACAUUUUUUUGGGAAACUCAAGUCUCGAGUGAAGGUACAAAGUAUGGAAUUUUAUUCCAUACUAUUCCAUAUUUAAAUAGAUUUGAAAUCUUGAUCGAGUUUUCAGGGGGAGUGACGUUGGGUGAAAAUCAAAUGAGUGCGGAAGGGGAAUGAAUUUUUCAUUUGAUUUUAUUCAUUUAAAUUGACGUGCUCAGUGGAAAAUAUUCGACUCUAGCGGAGAUGAAUUUUUUGGUAGAUUUUUUAAUUGAACAUGUGCAACGGGAAUUGUAACGAAUUCGUAAAAUGACCAAAUCAAUGCUUAAGGAGCUUAAGGAGUUUUUAGGAAUUUACAAUAAAAUUUUCAAAUGGAAAAAUCUUUUUUUCAGCGAG